UACAGAGACCCCUAGUGUUAUCCGGAAUUAUUGGGCGUAAAGGGUGCGCAGGCGGUCUUGUUAGUCUUUUGUUAAAGCCCGGGGCUUAACCCCGGAGUCGCAGAGGAAACGGCAAGACUAGAGGGCGCGAGAGGUCUACGGAACUUACGGUGUAGGAGUGAAAUCCGUUGAUAUCGUGGGGAACACCAAAAGCGAAGGCAGUAGACUGGCGCGUUCCUGACGCUCAGGCACGAAAGCGUGGGUAGCGAACGGG
rnacentral:misc_RNA from 1 species